UACUUCCUUCCACUCUGGAUUUGUGUGUCCUGGAAUUACCAUUAUGGAACUACAUAUUGUGUCGUAGUGGGCCAGCUGGUGUUCAAUGAGUUGGGUUAUUGUCUUGGCUUGGCCUUCCUCCAAAAACUUGUCUUCACAAAAGCACAGUUUCCAUGAGCAGAAUGACUUUCCCUACAGAGAUCUGCUGCCUCCACAUAUAUAUGAUGCAAUAGCAGCAAAAGCAGAUUCCAGUGAACCUGUGUGGAGGAAGGAAAAGUUUAUGAUGAAACUAACAUUUACUUCUUCAACAUCAAAUUGGAGGCCACAUUCAAUGCCAAUAGAUUUUCCUGUCUAUUUCACAAAGUGCUUCAACAGGUUGACAAGCUUCACUUUUUACUGCUACCAGCAUCCACACCUGCACUCUUCAAUGAUGCAGGGUUGGUGCCCUCACUUCUUAAUGGUAGAGUUGGAUGUGCCUGGUCAUGAAGUUACAGAUUGUAGCUGCAUACAAUUCCACUGCUCCCAAUGGUCCACAGUACCUCAUGGAUACCGAAUUUUGAGUUGCUAGGUGUUUGAAACCCAUUUAAUUUGGCAUGGUGAUGGUGCUGCACAAGUCGAUGGAAGAUAUUCUCAAUUCAAGUCAGGACUUGAAUUGGGUGUGGCACAGUGGCUCAGUGUUCAUCUGCAGAUAAAAGGAUCCACUGAUGUCCUGAAGGCUGACACUACUGAGCAUAAUGGAUGUGUCAAAGGGACCACCUUUGGAUGAAAGUAAACUGAAGCAUCAUCUGCCCCCUCAGAUGAAUGUUAGAGGUCCCGUAGCUUUGUGAAGAAGAGCAGAGAAGUUGUCUCCAAUGUGCUGGCCAAUAUUUAUCCAUCAAUCAACAUUAUAAAAGAACGGACUAUCUGGAAUCAAAGUCUGUCCCUACGGAUAAAAUGAUAAAGCAAGGCACAGACAGGGGAUCUUUACGUUGUUUCCAACAUACUCUGAACCCAGUCAAAAGUGUUUCAUGUGAACGAAUUAAGAAAGCUGAUUAAGAAAACAAUUUUAAAAAGAUGUUUGUGUAUGAUCAGAGGAUUAGAAAAGAGGAUAAUAAGAACAGAAAAUGCUGGGUAUGCUCCUUUUUGCCUACCGUUUAAUUUAUUGCCCUUCUCUUCCAGGAAUGCCUGCUUUGACUACAUUUAGUUUCUCUCUUCCUUGUUCACCUGCAUUUUCAAAAUGUUAUUGCCUCUCCCCCCAACAGCCACCUACCAUAAAUCUUUACUGGCUCAUGAAUUGCUAAAUCUCUAACCUCUUCCAAUACUGAAGAAAGGUCACCAACCUGUUCCUCGCUCCACAGAAGUUGUUUGACCUGCUGAGUGUUUACCAGUGUUUUCUGUUUUUAUUUCAAUGGCCAUAGUGACAACAACUAUGUGCUGAGUCAUUUGAAAUUUGGCUACCUGAUCACGAAUGUGCCAAUGAAGUAGGAACGCAUUAAUACUUUUGAAUUGGAAGACAAACUGAUACAGACUCCAUUUGGAACACUUGAAUUUUGUGUAAUUCGAGUUAUGUUUUGUAUUUUGCAAUGCAACCUUUCUACAUUAAUACAGUCAAAAUGUGCAUGUGUGUGUACCCUCAUGUUACAACAAGCAUUUCCCUAAAGUGCGUUAUAUGUAUAUUCCACUGGAUGAUCUAUGUAUUUCAUUAUGCAGUUGGUUUGGGGACUUCCUCUGCUGAAAUAUCAGUUUCUUCCUUUGAAAAUUUGCUCUUAUGAUACCUUGGGGAAGAUUCCUCAGACGGUUUGCUAGUACUCUGUUGUAAAUUAAGUCACAGCCUGCACUAUUAUAUGGCUGACUUAAGAUGUUUCCAUUUAUUUGCAUGUGGUAACAGAGCAGACUGUCACAAGCCUUAUAAUAUCCUCGUUUUGCCACAGAUUUUUGCAGCCACAAUAAAAAAUUGCAACCUCAGGAAAAGAACCGAAUGAUAAGCUUUUAGAGGUUUUUUUUCCGCCUUUUCCUUUGCAAUUUGAGAUGCAAUAGACAACAAUCUACUCAGGAUAAUAAGCGUUAUCAAAGGCUGAUGUGUUUUGAUCCUGAAUGUAACGGAUGUGGGUUGUGAAUAUUUUUGUCUGGUUUAUUUGGAAUGUUUACUGAACAGAGGAACUAUGUACUUACCUACUUCCCUCAAUGCAAAACAUCUGUAAUCGUGCCUCUCGCCCUGACAGGAUCAGAUGGUGGAGAGAAAGUAGUCAUGGCCUAAAUGUUUCAGGGGGAAGAGAUUGUGUUAUGCUUCUCUGUUUGUUGCUCCACCGCAACACAAAACAUAAAGUUGUACAUUCGCCCUUCCUGAAAACAAAGUAAUACCAGGGGUGGGGUUAAAAUUCCCUCUGGCUUGCGUUCGAUAU